rnacentral:rRNA from 1 species
CAAAGACUAAGCCAUGCAUGUCUCAGUAUAAGCAACUAUACGGUGAAACUGCGAAUGGCUCAUUAAAUCAGUUAUCGUUUAUUUGAUAGUACCAUACGACAUGGAUAACCGUGGUAAUUCUAGAGCUAAUACAUGCUAAUAACCUCGACUUCGGAAGGGGUGUAUUUAUUAGAUAAAAAACCAAUGCCUUUCGGGGCUCCUUGGUGAAUCAUAAUAACUUAACGAAUCGCAUGGCCUUGCGCCGGCGAUGGUUCAUUCAAAUUUUUGCCCUAUCAACUUUCGAUGGUAGGAUAGUGGCCUACCAUGGUAUCAACGGGUAACGGGGAAUUAGGGUUCGACUCCGGAGAGGGAGCCUGAGAAACGGCUACCACAUCCAAGGAAGGCAGCAGGCGCGCAAAUUACCCAAUCCCGACACGGGGAGGUAGUGACAAUAAAUACUGAUACAGGUCUGUUUUGGGUCUUGUAAUUGGAAUGAGUACAAUUUAAAUC